AUGCUGGUAAGAUGUUGGAGCCACAAGAAUGAGUACAUAAACAAGGAGAAGAUGAAUGCUGUUGUGCCCAAGAUUGCGAAUCCGAGAAACCACCAAGGAGCCGACACUGAUGCAAAAAUGACCACACAUGGCAGCAGAUAUGUUAGCUAUCCCAGCAGAGAAAAGGACCACAUUGGCUGACAAAUGAACUUAUGCUGAGGUGAGUUUUGGUUAUCUUUGUGCAGUAAAACAAGAAAUAUGCUCUAAAACAGAGUUUCUCAAAGUUUGAACCCAAAUCAGUAGCAACAGCUUCAGCUGACGGCUGGUUAUAAAGUCCCACAUCAGACCUGUUGAAUCAGAAACUCUGGAGAUUUUUUCAGAACGCAGGCUAGAGUUUGAGAAUACUGUAUAAGAAUGCACUACCUGGGAUCCCUGGGUGGCGCAGCGGUUUGGCGCCUGCCUUUGGCCCAGGGCGCGAUCCCGGAGACCCGGGAUCGAAUCCCACAUCGGGCUCCCGGUGCAUGGAGCCUGCUUCUCCCUCUGCCUGUGUCUCUGCCUCUCUCUCUCUCUCUCUCUCUCUCUCUGUGACUAUCAUAAAUAAAUAAAUAAAUAAAAAUUAAAAAAAAAAAAAA
rnacentral:lncRNA from 12 species